rnacentral:rRNA from 1 species
GGCAUCACGAGGGCUUAGCUGUCUCCCCUUUAAAGUCAAUGAAAUUGAUCUCCCCGUGCAGAAGCGGGGAUACGCUCGUAAGACGAGAAGACCCUAUGGAGCUUAAGAUAUAAAGCGACCCAUGUCAAGCACCCCUUCUAAAGGAAUUGAACAAAAUGAGCCCCGCCGAAAUAUCUUCGGUUGGGGCGACCGCGGGGAAAGACAAAACCCCCACAUGGACUGGGGCCAACAUGGCCCUAAAACCUAGACCCACACGUCAAACAAACAGUAUUUCUGACCACCAAAGAGCCGGCAAUGCCGAUCAACGGACCGAGUUACCCUAGGGAUAACAGCGCAAUCCCCUCCCAGAGCCCUUAUCGACAAGGGGGUUUACGACCUCGAUGUUGGAUCAGGACAUCCUAAUGG